AAAUUAUGGAUGAGCACCGAGGUACGUAGGUAGAUAGUCUCCUAAAGAGUACCUCGCUUGAUGAAGACCUUUGUGGGGAUGGAGGCGGCGCGUGCGCAGGCUUCCUUAGGGUAUGUUGGUGGCGCAGUGGCUUCCGUGGCUCCUUGCUGUGUUGGAGCGGGGAGGACCUGCCAGUGUUCCUGUGGAUAAGGUAAACGUUUUCUUUCACGGCCGUCAGCUCUGCCCCUUCCCUGCCCAGCGCUGCGGGAUCCCAGUCACCGGUGUUGUCAUCCUACUGACGUGUGCUAGAGACCUUUCUUCGCUUCAUCGCGGCGCCUUCAGUUCCGUCCGUCUUCUGCUGCUGUAGUAGGAAGAGGCCCCGCCCCGCCCUUGGUGCUUCGUCCAGCAGCACGUUCCACUAGCAAAGCUAAGUAGAAGCAUCAGCUACAUACCUACUCACCACUCGUCCACCAAUACGCACAUCCAUUCACCCCCUCACCCACCCAUCGACACACACACACACACACACACACACACACACACACAUUAUAACACAGUGUAUCCACAACGAAACACGAGAUGUACUACACGAUUAAUUAAGUCCGCCACGCUUACUGAAAACUUAAGGCGCGCACACGUUCUCCUUCACCACAAAGACUCGCACACAGUAACACGCUACUCGUCACUAGCGACGUGAUACACGCCCAGUGCACGUCCUUCUUUACAAUGCCCCUUUUUGUUCAGUAUUAAUGUGUACAAACGUAAUUAUUCUAGCCUUAAAAGCAAUAAUUUGGUGACUAAGUUUUGCUGUCAAUACUGUUUUUAUAGAAAUAGAGGAAGCGCAUAAAUAUGAAGAAAGGCA